rnacentral:misc_RNA from 1 species
UCCCAUCUGAAUAGCAAGAGCUGCUUCAGCAUGUGUACUGUAUCUCACAAAACCAAAACCUUUAUCCCGCUGCACACGCACAUCUUCAAUAGUUCCUGCACCAAGUGCAUGGAACUGCCUAUGAAGAUCCACAGAAGUAACCUGCAAAUUUAUUUGUUGGUGAGAAACCCAGCUAUAAGACUUUCCUAAACUUUUGGCAACAGAAGAAUCAAAAUUACUAACAUUGUUACCUGAUAUCAUUUCCAUUACAAGGGAAAACACUUGAAUUAAGUAGACCAUUUAGACAAAAUUUUCUAAAGAUAAAGAGGAAUUCAUCUCACCACCCAGAAUAAUGUGGUGGAGGAUUUACUAUUUUCACCUAAAUUUACAGAACUCCAUCCAGCUGUCAUACCAAAAUCCAUCGAACCAAGCAAACAUUGACCUUUUACAUAGAAGCAGAGAUGAUGCUGAGCAAAAGGAGCCAAAACAGGAUGUUCCAGCAGGGGCAGCACUUACACAGAAUACUAUAUGCCCUGAGCAUGUACCAGAGCCAAAUCACAUGCCCUGGGCAUCUGAUCUUCUGCUAGCCGUGUAAAGCUGCCUUUUUUUGGUUAAUUUUGAAGUCCAGACGUCCUAAAGUCGGACUUCCUGUUUUGACUAUCUACAGCUGUGGAAAUUGAUUAGAAUUAAUUUAGGAACUCUCCAACUCUAUUUAGGAUUUAAUUAUGUUUUCCUAUUCUAUCUAGGAUUAGUUUAAUUACUAUUUUAUUUAUAUCUUCUUAUUGUAUUUAGCUUUAGCUAAACUUCCUAAUUGA